rnacentral:rRNA from 1 species
AUUGAACGCUGGCGGCAUGAUUUACACAUGCAAGUCGAACGGUAACAGGCCGCAAGGUGCUGACGAGUGGCGAACGGGUGAGUAAUGCAUCGGAACGCGCCCAGUCGUGGGGGAUAACUACUCGAAAGAGUAGCUAAUACCGCAUACGAUCUAUGGAUGAAAGCGGGGGACCGUAAGGCCUCGCGCGAUUGGAGCGGCCGAUGUCAGAUUAGGUAGUUGGUGGGGUAAAGGCUCACCAAGCCAACGAUCUGUAGCUGGUCUGAGAGGACGACCAGCCACACUGGGACUGAGACACGGCCCAGACUCCUACGGGAGGCAGCAGUGGGGAAUUUUGGACAAUGGGCGCAAGCCUGAUCCAGCAAUGCCGCGUGCAGGAAGAAGGCCUUCGGGUUGUAAACUGCUUUUGUACGGAACGAAACGGCUCUGGUUAAUACCCGGGGCUAAUGACGGUACCGUAAGAAUAAGCACCGGCUAACUACGUG